UCGCUUCAGGAGGAGCCUACGUCCUAUCAGGUAGUUGGUAGAGUAAUAGCCUACCAAGCCAAUAACGGGUAGCCGGUGUGAGAGCAUGACCGGCCACAAGGUUACUGAGACACGGAGCCU
rnacentral:rRNA from 1 species